rfam:Gossypium hirsutum cultivar TM-1 unplaced genomic scaffold scaffold165.1, whole genome shotgun sequence
UGUUAAACAUUUCAUCCAUUUCACUGUUAAAACCUGAUGCGGUUGAUGGCAUAACCAAACAGUUACAUGUGACGUGCUACAUAUAACUCAUGUUGAUAUACAUAUACUAGUUUUUAAGAGUAGAAAUUGAUGACAUUUUUAAUA